rnacentral:tRNA from 6 species
GGUGUAAUAGUUUAGUGGGUAAAACAAUAGCCUCAUAUGCUAUAUUCAGAGGUUCAACUCCUCUUUACACCU